UACUCCUGGACUACUUAAGAAGAAGUCAGCACGUGCCCUCAAGAGUAUGAGAGGUACCUCCCAAAGCUUCCUUUUUUCUUUCCCAUGGUACAUAAGGAGAGCUUCAUCUGAAUGGUCCCAACAAUCAGGGGACCAGGUGAUGGAGUAGGAAGAAAGGCAUUGAAUGUGUGUUUUGGAGUGCAACACAUACUAUGACCUUCUGGUAAUGUAGACUGGGGAGAAAUAGUGUCCUCCUUUUUCCCAUGGCAAUCAAUAAAACUGAAUUUUGGCUUCCUAAGCUAUAGCACAUUGACAUGGCAUGAGCUGGAGCUGGUAAAAGAAUAGGAUAUGAGGCAAUUUUCAACUGGAUGCAGACAGGGUAGCACUGAUUUUCUGCUACAGUAUUCUAUUUCAACAUGGAAAAUCAUCACACAGGAGGAAGCCUGUUCCGUGGUGGAAUUGCUUGGAGGAAGAACUUUCUGGUGGAGCACAGUAGUAACAUCAGUGAUUAAAACAAAACCGAUGUUAAAAGAGGAAGAUGAGUAAGGCUGCCAAGUGAAAUACUACUGCAUGAAAUAAAGCUGAAUUAAUUAUAUUACA
rnacentral:lncRNA from 14 species